CGCUGCAGGUGCCGCUGGGUGCCAGGACCUCUGGGGCUCCGGCAGGCGAUGGAAGCGGAGCGCUAGAGGAUCCUUGGGUCAGCCCAGAACAUCCGUAAGGACUGUGAUGGGGUUGGCAUCUGAGCAGCCGUGGAGCACAGUCGGGGAAAGAUUACCAGCACGAGUGGCGGCGAGUCCGGAUGGCCAGCCCUGCCGCUGGGAGAACUUUUCCCAACUCCCUUGGGAGACGCCUCCCUGGAGUCUUCCUCUGUCCCACCUCUGUUCGGUCCACGGAUGCUUCCUGAGUCUGGGUGCGAGUCCUAGUCUGGUUGCACUCUAGGUCAGUACCGCGGACAGCGCACUGAAGCCUACAGCCCCAAGCACCAUCCAUACGCAGGAAUGAAGCACACGCACGCACUUGAUAUAGAGCACUCACGAACACUCCACUCACAAAUUCACACUCCUUUCUGGUAAAUAUAUUCCUAUAUCGUGGCUCAUAGGCUCACACAAUGCACAC
rnacentral:lncRNA from 1 species